UACAGAGGCCUCGAGCGUUAGGCGGAAUCACUGGGCUUAAAGCGUGUGUAGGCGGACUUCUAAGUACCUUGUGAAAUCCCACGGCUUACCCGUGGAACUGCUGGGUAUACUGGUUGUCUUGAGCCGUCUAGGGGCGAGUGGAACAAAUGGUGGAGCGGUGAAAUGCGUAGAUAUCAUUUGGAACGCCAAUGGUGAAAACAACUCGCUGGGGACGUGCUGACACUGAGGCACGAAGGCCAGGGGAGCAAACGGG
rnacentral:rRNA from 1 species